rnacentral:rRNA from 1 species
CCUACGGGAGGCAGCAGUGGGGAAUAUUGGACAAUGGGCGCAAGCCUGACCCAGCAACGCCGCGUGUAUGAAGAAGGCUUUCGGGUUGUAAACUUCUUUUCUGCGGGACGAAGAAAGUGACGUUACAUCCGUAAUAAGCCACGGCUAACUACGUGCCAGCCGCCGCGGUAAUACGUAGGUGGCACGCGUUACCUGGAUUUGUUGGGGGUAAAGGGCGUGUAGGCGGGAAAGUAAGUCAGAUGUGAAAACUCAGGGCGUAACCCUGAGACUGCAUGUGAAACUGUUUUGCUUGAGUGCUGGAGAGGCAAUUGGAAUUCCGUGUGUAGCGGUGAAAUGCGUAGAGAUACGGAGGAACACCAGUGGCGAAGGCGGAUUGCUGGACAGAAACUGACGCUGAGGCGCGAAAGCGUGGGGAGCAAACAGGAUUAGAUACCCCGGUAGUC